AAUCACUCAACUUGUAUUCAUCUGUUUACUACCCAGGGUAUGAUGGGUGUGGGAGAAAACAGAAAGGCUGAAUUUUUGCAGCAUUCAAUUCCUCUUUAAGAAACUGGACUGGGAAGAAUCACAAUAGGGAAGGGAAAGACUUGAAUUAAUUCAACAGGCUUUGAAUCAACCUUCUCAGUUCUGUGUGACUUUGAACACAAGUCAAGCCUUUCAUCUGUCUGCACUUUGAGUGCAACUUCUUUUUGCUGCUCUCAUUGCUGCUAUCGAAACAACUGCUUCAAGACAAGCCGAGUUACCUUACUCAUCAGCUGUAACAUUUUAUGGUUGCUAACAUCAUGAACAAAAAAGAAUUUCUUAGAAAUUAACAGGUAAGUAAUAUUCAGGAAGAAUGGACUUUCCUGCACUGCUUAUCCUGCUGUGAAACUCAAACCAGUAACAAAUACAGGCUGGAGUGGUCUAAAACUUGCAAGUGACUCAAAUCAAAUGCCACUUGUCUUAUCCCCUUUAACCGCAGCUAUGAGGGGUGCAGCCCUUUGGACAGCUCACGUGAUAUUUUCCUUUCCAGCUUAAAUUUCCAUAGACUUUGGGUAAUGGGAAGCUUUCUAUCGUCCUUCCUUCUGAAAAAUGUAAAUAUAGAAAGAGUGUUUAAGGCAAAAGGCUGUAGUCAGAUCACUUGAGGACAGUGGUGUACGUUUCUUGCAUUUCAAGCUGCCCUGUGAAACCACUGACUCCUCAAUGGUCUUUGUUCUCAUGAUGAGCAUUUUCCUUCAAUAUUUUGGCUGUUAUGUGCACAAAUUUGGCAUCAUUUAGGCUUCUUUCAUAUGCAUAGGUGUUUUAAGUGUUGGUACCUCUGUCAGUGAGGUCACCUGUACAGGAAAGAACAAAGGCCACCAGUUACUGUCAGAGCUGUAACCUCCCUGUCAACAUUAGAAAUAGAAAAUGUGGCCAAUAAUUACACCGGGAGCUCUGCAGCUUGCCAGCAGGCUUUGCUGGAUCUGGGCAACAAAACUAAACCCUCUGCAUGUGUGUUUAGUUUGUCCUUCAUGUAGCUGCUAUAUUCCACGACAGUCUUAAGGCAAAGAAAGUUCAAACAGGCAGUGAGCUAAAUGGAAGCAUUUGCUGUGCUGCUGCUUUACAAGGGGAGUGUCCACACAGCUGCUUAAAUGGGUUCUGUAUGGGCAGACCCAAGAAAAUUGCACUGAUACAUCCAGUCUCUAUUUAGAAUACUCUCUGUAGAUUCAUGCUGAGAAGAAAGUUCACUGCAGAGUGCAAGAUACAAAGGGGUGUAUGGAAACUGCAAUGUGACUUAAAAUAAAGCCUGGGUUUUUAAAAUACUCCUAUGGUAUGCUUUGGCUCCUUUAUUUCCUAACAAUUUGUUAUAAAAAAACCAAGAGCACACAUGAAAAUGUGUGCCAU